AUGAACGCUGGCGGCGUGCCUAAUACAUGCAAGUCGAGCGAACAGACGAGGAGCUUGCUCCUCUGACGUUAGCGGCGGACGGGUGAGUAACACGUGGAUAACCUACCUAUAAGACUGGGAUAACUUCGGGAAACCGGAGCUAAUACCGGAUAAUAUAUUGAACCGCAUGGUUCAAUAGUGAAAGACGGUUUUGCUGUCACUUAUAGAUGGAUCCGCGCCGCAUUAGCUAGUUGGUAAGGUAACGGCUUACCAAGGCAACGAUGCGUAGCCGACCUGAGAGGGUAGUGGGACAAACGGGAAUGGAAACAGGGCCAAGACCCAAAGGGAGGGAGAAAGAGGGAAUUUUUCAGAAAGGGGGGAAAGCGAGAAGAGGAACCGCAGGGUGAGUAAAGAGGGUCUUAGAAUCGAAAAACUCUGUUAGAGGGAAAAAAAAAAGGUGAAAGAAACUAUGCACGUCGUGAGGUAACCAAAUAAAAAGGCCAGGACAAACUACGUG
rnacentral:rRNA from 1 species